UCAAUACCUGAUGCCAUGCCUACCAAAGAGAAUACUCUCAACCUCUUUCCAACCCUGAGUUAAGGGUGAGGUGAAAAAAGAGACCCAAGACAUUUAGGCCUGCCAACCUGGCGGGAUCACAUCUUAUGGAGUGAGAUUUUAUAGGAGCGAUUUAUCUUGGAGUUUAAAUAAGUGAGGAUGAAAAAAAUCUGCUGCCAGCUUCCCUACAGAAUUUGCAUAGGAACCAAGAUUAAUAAACACUUAAAAAGUGUAGAGAGAGCUAGAAAUUGGCUUGUGGCCUGCUUAUGCACAGGACUGAGCUGAAAGUCAUCUUGUCCCCAGUAAACAAGUAAUUCCAGAGCUGAAGAAAAACUGUAAAUUAUGCAUCUAGGUCCCUUUCAUUUUCAGAUAUUCUGUAUUUUCUGGGAAAAUGGUCUCAGUAUGGAGGCUAGCCUUUGGGAUAUGGUGCCUUCCCCCCCCCCCCCCAAAUAAAUCUAUAUGGUAACAUCUCUGUAUUGUGAAUUGACUCAGUAAGAAACCAAAGAGACAAAAAGCAUUCAAACUGCUCACAUUCUUUCGUCCUAGGAAGCCGUACCAGCCGAUUUCUAGAUAUGAUCUAUUUUAGCUCAAAGUGCGAUCACACUGUAUAAAAUAUACAUUCACUGAGAAUGAGACCUAGCACAGAUCACAGAUACCCCAGGGACCUGACAUCAGGAAUUAGGACAGGCCAAAAGGAAAAAAAAAAAAAAAAGACAAAACUCUUUAGGCAACAAGGCACAAUUCAAACAUUCAAGAGAGAUUUGUAUUUUUGCCACCCCAAAACAUGCAUUAACUAUGAAGUGGAGACCACAGUUUUAGGAGCUCUGCAUCAGGAAACCUGAAGUCUUGCUGUGCCCUAUCCUGAUGGGUCUCAGUGACAAGAGAUGCCAGAAUGUGGCAUCUUUGUUUAGUACUGUGUACUUUUGCUAGAGUGAUUCAUUACUGUCUUAUCUCAAUUUAAGAGGACAUUAGUAUAUGGAGGGGAGGUAACAGGAUCAAAGGAAAUGAAGAGGUUGAGUGGAGAAAAAGGUGUCACUAUUUCCUAGAAAAUACUUUUCUUACUGUCUGAGGGGGUAAAUUACUUUCUUUAAUUUAUAAACCCCUUUUCAUUUUUUUCCCGGGAAUGAGAAUACUAUGGCUCUACCCAGGUUAGGUUCAGACUUGAAGUUGACAAAUGGCAGUCCUGAAAGCAGACGCAAGUUUCAUUCUCCUAAACAAGGAAAUCAAAUGAUAUGAUACAUGUAAAACCAAGCUGAUAAUAGCCCAAGCUAAGAUUUUAAAGAAACAUCACUCCAACACUUAAAGGGGUGCCUGGGUGGCUCAGUCAGAUGGGGAGCUCUGGCAGAAUGUUCUGGCCUGUGUGCAAUGACUGAAUUCUCUCUGCCAAGGGAUAAAGCUAAAAUCUGCUUUCUUGGAAACCAGCUAAUGUCUUUAAGAAGCAUGACCCCAGUUAGGGAGAGAUUGGGAACUUUGAAUAAAGCGGAGGGUAAGAAAAUAAUUUUCAGCGUUCACAGGUACGGUAAUUUACAAGGAUAUUAGGAUCUGAAUACCAAGAAAUAAUUUAAAAAUAGAAU